rnacentral:piRNA from 1 species
UCCAAAUCCGUAAUUGCCCUCUUAGC